rnacentral:rRNA from 4 species
AAGGCGAGGCCGAAAGGCGUAGUCGAUGGGAAACGGGUUAAUAUUCCCGUACUUGGUGUUACUGCGAAGGGGGGACGGAGAAGGCUAUGUUGGCCGGGCGACGGUUGUCCCGGUUUAAGCGUGUAGGCUGGUUUUCCAGGCAAAUCCGGAAAAUCAAGGCUGAGGCGUGACGACGAGGCACUACGGUGCUGAAGCAACAAAUGCCCUGCUUCCAGGAAAAGCCUCUAAGCAUCAGGUAACAUCAAAUCGUACCCCAAACCGACACAGGUGGUCAGGUAGAGAAUAC